CACGCACACACACACUCAGACGGAUUCAGGACUCACAGAACUGACCUCUGAGUCUGUUUCUGAUCCGGUUCUGAUGUGGUUCAGUCUCAACAGAGCAGCAGGUCUAACCAGUCAGAACCAGAACCAGUGAUUGUUUCCUUCCAACCGGACCGACUGGAUGUUCUGAAGACACAGCUGCAACCCGCUCAGACCUUCGGUCGGUUCUGAUGUGACCCGGUUUCUCCCUGCAGACAGGAAAGGUCCAGCCUGAUUGAAGCCUGUUAAGUAACCAGGUCUGGCCCAGCGGUACCGGCUGUUUUGCAACUCAGACUGACCCAUCCUUUGGAUCUGCAAAGCCCCUCCUGGUCCUCCAUCUCUCCCUGGGAGCCUUAAGGUUUGUCCUCAUCCAGAAAUCCCUGGUAGACCAGAACCGAUCCGGUCGUCCCAGCAGGAGUAAAGUUCCUGGACGGCACAAUGGCUCCAGGAAGAUUCAGCAGCCAGCCGCCUUUCCACAGGGCAGGAGAAACGAGUUGCCCUCUGUCACGCCUGGGACCAUGACCUCCCUCUGUGCAUCCCAGCCCUCGGUCCAGGUUCGAAUCCGGGUCCUCUGUUUCAAACCGAUUAAGGGCUGAUCUAUGGUUUCACUUCCUGAGCUGCUGGACUCUUGUCCAGAUCAUCCUUGAGGCCAACUGAAGGUCUUCCUCUGCAGCCUCUCCAGGUGUUUGAGAAGUUUUUGCUUCUGUGACACCAGGAGCCAUCAGGCCGUACCAGGAGCCACCAGGCCGUACCAGGAGCCACCAGGCCGUACCAGGAGCCACCAGGCCGUACCAGGAGCCACCAGGCCGUACCAGGAGCCACCAGGCCGUACCAGGAGCCACCAGGCCAACCAGCAUCCAGGAAACAGAACCACAGACACAGACCAGAUGAUGGGACCUGCAGAUGUUUAUGGAGUCUGAAGGCGUCUCACUUGUUCCCAGUUUGGUUUCUGAACAUCUUCAGCUUCAGUGAUACCGGUCCAGUCCCCUUCCAGAACCUCCCGUGGUUCUGAUGGGAUGUUCAUAAACAGACUCUGUUUUCAGUCAUCUGACCCCCAGCUUUUUCUUCUCAUGUUUAUUUAAAUGAUUUUAUAUUCCUCCUCCUCCUCUGUCUUUGAGCUGCUCUCAGGAAAAUGACAUUUUGAGCAGCAGGGUGAGAAAAGCAAUCUGCUUUUUUCCCUGGAGAGGAAGAGAUGUAAAAACCGAGUGGAAGAGAGGAAGGAAUCUGCAGAGAGAACGGGCUCCUGCUUCUCAGUUCAACUGCAGUUUGUGGAGUAUUUUAUUUUGAAAAAUAUCAGCUUCCUCCUCCUGACCAGGAAGUUCUAUCACCUCAUUACGCUAACUGGACACUAAUGUGAGACAUUAGCGGGACGUCAGAGUCGCUAGCGGGACAUUAGCAGUAUGUUAGUAGUACGUUAGCAGGACAUUAGAGAGAUGUCAUUGUUAGGUCAACGGUACGUCAGUUGGACGUCAACAAGACGUUACUGGCACUUUCGAGAUAUGUUAGCGGGACGUUAGCAACAUGUUAGCAGUAGGUUAGUAGUAUGUUACCAUAUCCAGCUCUUAGCAGCUGCAGUAGAGAAUUUCUUUACUGUUCAUGACAGGAGCAUGCUGCGGUGAGUUGUCUUAAGUAACCAGGAAAACCUGGAGUGGAGUUUUAGCGGAAUGGCUUUCCUGUCAAUCAAUCAAAUGGAACGGAUUAUUUCACCAAGCAGCAGAAACACUGCUGGAGCAAGGCAGACUGAGCGGCCCGUUUCCCACCUUUUCAGCCUGUUAUGAUUUUCUUGGGGUCAUAAUUAAAACGAGAGACGAUUCUUCGGGAAAGAGCAUAAAACGUAGAGGUAAGAGAAAAGACUCUGGGAUGUGUUGGAAUCAGUGGCGGUUUGCAAUGCCUGGACAGCUGCAGGAGGUUGGACGCUGCUGGACAAGGAGCCACGUCCUGAAGAGCUUUUUUUUUUUUUACCCCUCCAGGGGGCCUUUUGUGGGCUCUGGUGUCUCUUAUAUGAAAAUAGGCUGACAGGAAGGGGGGAAGACAUGCGGCAAAUAUCAUCGGGUCCGGGAGUCGAACCUGCAUUUCGAGGCCUCCAAAUGUGGGUCGCGCUAACCGCUACGCCACCACGCCACGCCCCCUGAAGAGCUUUUUCACAGCUUUUAAUCUCCAGUUCUGUGAAAUGCUGUAAAUCUGGUUAAUGUUCAGAUUCUCCUGAAUUCAGCAUCUGAUUGCUCAGAAUCACCAACUCCUGAUCCGACUGACCCUGCGACUACAGGAGCUCAGAGGGGUCAGAUGCUGAGUGGGUCAGAGCGGGUCCAACAGAAAACACUGCGGUCCUGCAGGUCAGCAGGAUCCAGUUGGUCCUGCAUGUGUUGACAUUAAUGUUUUCCUCUGCUUCACUCUCUGGGAGGCUUCAAGCUGUCUCAACCAGUCGGUCCCAGAACCGUCUGCAGCUGAAAGACAAGAUUCUGAUCGGUUCUGAUAGGCUUUGACCGGCUCUGAUCAGUUCUGACCGUGUUCUGUGGUUUCCUGGAUGUUUGUGUUCCGGAUCUAAAGGAAGCAUUUGUUUUAUUUCAAGUUUCAAUUUAAGCUUAAAGCUGCAGCUGCAAUAAACACACUUUUGCAGUGGCAACACACACACACACACACACACACACACACACACACACACACCCUGCAGAGCGAUCUGCUGUGUCAGCACUUUGUUGCUUCAUAAAUAUGACUCCUGUUUUGUCCUGAUUGGCUUUGCGCUGCAGCGGCAGCGAGGGAAUUAUUGAUUGAUUUACUCUGCGUCUCGACAAUAAUUGCUCACCAGGGGAGGGUGUGUGUCGGUGUGUGUAUUGGAGGGAGUUAUUAUUACCAUUUUAAGAGAGAAGGUUUCAACAUUUAAUAAAGAAAAUGAUCAAUAAACAGCUGAGACACUGAGAGGGAGAGUUUCACCAUGAAGAUGAUAAAGCAGUAAACCUUUAGCAAGCUAAUCUACUGUUAGCAUGCUAAUCUGCAUUUAGGUAAGGAUGCAUGUGUCUGUACUAGUUAUCUCAGUGACAGACUAACAGCCAGGUGACCUCUUACCCCUGACCUCUGGAUGGACAGAUUAAAUUGGUUUUAUUGGAACAGUGCAUAUUAAUGGAUGUAUAAUUUUAUCAAUAUAACUGAUUUAGCAAAAUGCUAAUUUCCAUCCGCAGUCCCAUAAAACAAACACAAGUUACAAAAAUAACAUUAAUACAAAAAUAUUAAAAAAUGAGAAACUGUCUUAAGAGAUCAAAGUGUUCUGACUUUCAAAAUGUUUAUGAACUGGAAGGAUGUUUUCUUUUUUAUUUACUGAUUAGCAAAUAAUGGAUUGAUAAUCAGCACUUACAUCAGUAACCCUGGUGAAAACAGCAGCUUCAAACCAGUAAGAGAUCAGUCUUAAACCAGUUUAAAACCAAUAUGAAACCAGUAUGGGGUAACUGAACGUUUUCCUUCUACCUGACGGAGCAGAGUCUGUUCUGUCUGUGAUGGCCUGAUGUCCCACAGUCAGUGAACAUGUUGUAGGCUGCUGUAAGGUCAGAGGUCAGACGCUGCCUGGCUCUGAGGCAAAGAGAAGAUUUUCCCUCUGAAAGAAUCUGCAGCUUCGGCUUCCUCACCUGUUCCUCAGCAACUCCAGAACAGCCCGCUGCCCCCUGCUGAUUUAAACCUGCCUCCUACCCCCGCUGCCCCCCGCUGAUUUAAACCUGCCCCUCCUCCUACCCGUCGCCCCCUCCUCAAUCUUUGUCUCCAUAACGACUCCUAAAGACUUCCCACUCGACUAACCUUCUUUCUCUGAGUGCUGCCGCGUCAUUGGUCGGCCGCUGACAUUUUGUUAGACAUCAUUAAGGUGGACGACACCAUAAAGCACCCGAAGGCGACACCCCUUCACCCCCACCCGGGGUAAUACCUCUCGCCCUGUGGGGGACACGCAGCAAGGGGGGAGAGUUAUGAGUCUUAUUUAAGGUCCCGAUUAACCUUCUUUCUGUACGACUAAUCAAUUUUCACGAGUCGGGCUCCAUAAAGACCCUGUACAACACACACACACACACACACACACACGAUCCAGAUGUCUCCGUUAGAAACAGAACCAGAAUCCCCACUGGGUCAGGUGAGGUUCCAUCCUCCCCAGGAUCAGGCUUCCUCAGGUAAACUCGGUGACCUGAGGCUGUCUCUACCCGUCUGACCCGUCUCACCCUGACCCCCAGGUGAGUUUAUGUUCUGAAAUCAGGGUCAAGGGUUGAAACGGUGGGCUUGUGUUCAGAGUCGGAGGUCAGCUCAAAGUUUCUACUCACGUUUGGAUCUAUUUCAUCAGGAUGCAAAUGUUUCAGGUUAAACUCUGAUCUUUCAUCAAACUGAAAGUAAUUGAAUCUCUUCAUCUUUCCUCCAACUUUUCUUCUUCUGUCAUCCGUCUUCAUCUGUUUCUCUUUAGCCGGUCGAGCCUCUCCUCCGUCUCCAUCACUCCAUAUUAGCUCCGUCUCUCCUCUAUUACCUCCCUCUUUCGCCCAUUAGUAACACCUGAAUCCUUCUAUUAGAUUCAGGAAGUCGGCCUCAUAAAUUCGCCGGCGUGUGCGCGCUGCUGGGCGACGGCUCACUGUUUUUGAUAAUGAAAGGAUCUGGGCUUAAAUUCACAUUACCUUUGUGAUGUACUUCAUGCUUGAUCAUAUGGGGCUCUUUGAUUUUAUUAACGUCUGUGAAUGGAUUUCUGGCUCUUUUCCCGUCCGUCUCCGUCUGUCUGCCUCCAACGACGGCUUCGUCCUCCGAGGAGCCGUUGAAGGUCGGGGUCGCCGCUCCGCCCGCUACCUGCUGAUGGCCUGCUUAAAGGCUUUGGACACCGAAUGGAACCUGCUUUGGUUCUGAGAGAUCUACACCUGAGAUUUGCAUGGCAAGCUGUUGGCCAAUUUAAAAAACUUUAGGAGGACUAGGUUUGGUGUGGAGAUACACAGCAGCAGCAACUCGUCAUGUAUGAACCUCCCAAAACCUCUGGAGAAAAAAGAAACAUGGCUGACCUGAAAGAAGCAAUGGUUGGUGGAAAAUGUUUCACAGAGAGAAACAGAUACAAAGACUUGUGUGACGUCCACCAGACGUCUUGGUCCUCCAUGUCAGUUUCAUCUUCUGUAUCUUAGAUUCUCCUACAUGUUCCCAUCACAUUCUGGUUAGCUACACAUUCAGCAGACUGGGAUUUGUUUGUGCUUGGAGAACACCAAACCCUGCCCAGGACACCGCAGGGCCCGGUAAAGGAGUAAAGGAGUUUGGUUAGGGUUAGUCCUACAGAGUGAGGCUAGGGUGGGUCGAGAACUAUUGUAAGAGCUGACACAAAAGGUUCUGAGGUUCCUGAUCGAUCCGCAUUCAACCUCAGCUGAACUUCAUCAGCUGAAGUUCAUGACUGAAAGAUCGAGUAGCUAAAAUGUGCUUCCUGUUUGCAGCGUCUGGACUCGUCUACCUCCACUCUGUCAGACCCACAGUUCCCUGCUGAGACUAUCUGUCCUUUUGGGAAUGCCUCGAGGUCCCCAGGAUGACCUGGACACCUGGAGCAGGUGUUCUUCCUGAGCUUUGAUUGGCCAGAGGUUCACACCUGAAAUCUUCCAGAUAGAAGAAGCUGAACUGAGUGAGGAAAUGUCAGAGAACCGACUGCCUGUAGGGGGCGCUGAUCAGCACCGCUGUGUGUUUGUUUCAUUCAGGGGUGUGUGUGUGUGUGUGUGUGUUCUGGUCCACCAUAAAGCGGAUCAGACAGAAUUAAUAACUUUCAGGUCAAUACCAGCCGCUGCUGCUUCCAACAACACCAGUUUGUUGACUCACGUUUGAUCCCAGAAGCACAAAAUGAAAUUGAUUUGACUCGAGUUAAUUUCCUCUGUGUGUGUGGGCGUGUGUGUAUGUGUGCACACAGGGAAGCAAACAUUGUUAGCUUUACAAGCUGAUCAGUCAACUAAAACUACAUCACUAAUUAAAAGCCUGCUGUGAUGGUGUGUGGGUGUGUGUGUGUGUGUGUGUGUGUCUGGCUGUGGGUCUGACGUUGAACUCUGGACGGGUCAACACACGCGCACUUUUCUGUUUUUUCCAUUUCUCCUCUUCGUUUGCUGUCACGCCGUCUGUCAUUCCCCCAAACCGCCUCUGUCAGUCAGUCAGUUACUCAGCCGACACAUUACAGCUUCGACACACAUACUCAGGAGCACACACCCUCAGGAACACACACACACACAGGAACACACACCCUCAGGAACACACACACACUCGUAGCUGACCAUCAUUGCCAGUCUGCAGUGAGGCAGAAAAGCUUAGUAAUAGCAGGUCAUCACCUCCUGACUCUGACUGACUGUGUGUGUGUGGGGGGGGCUAUGUGCGCGCGCGUGUGUGUGUGUGAACCAGUUGGCAGUCUAUUAGUGUGCUGUGAUUGGCCGGCAUAGAGCAGCUGUGUGAUGUCAGUCAGUGUAGCUGAAAACUGUAAAAUCUGCAGAAAAGUUUUUGUGUUGACAUCAGAGAUGAUGAUGAUGAUGAUGAAUGAGAUCAUGGUAGUGAUGAUGAAGAUGAUGUUGGACUUUAUGUGUGAUGGUGUUUCCUAAUAAUAAAAGCUAUUAUUUAGUUGUGGCUUGUUGCCUGUUGCUCCAGUAAUAAUUUACAACAGGAAUGUUGCCGACUGAUGUCCCAGUCAAAGCAACCAGAGUUCGGCUGCUAAAACUUUGGAUUUGGUUUAUAGUGUGAAGAGUUAAAGUGGGUCGAUGAUAAAUGGAUUGAUAAUCUCUGAAAAAUGAGUCAGUUCUGACUGGACUACAGGGAGAGCAUGCAGAGCCAGGCGGGAUUCAAGAGCAGGUCACCACUUUGUUUCUCCGUGAUUUCAUGUUUACUUGGAUCAGCGACUCUCAAGACCCGAGUGUAGACAGAAACCGCCGGUUCCUGGAUCCACUGUGUGGUAGGGAUGUGCAAUACGGCAUAAACUUCAUAUCAUGAUACAUAUUGUGAUGGGUGGGUAACAAUAUAUGUACCAAUAUGAUACAAUGGAAACAAAAGAAAUCACACAUUAACUGAAUGAAAUGUAUUUGUGUUCAAACUUGUAUAACAUUUGUUUUUGUGCAUGUUAUAUGUAUGUAAUGUUAAUAGUUUUUUAAAGUUGAGCUUAAUCUUGAUGACUUCCUGGUUUCUCUAUUUUAAAAACUUGAAUUUAAUGGA